rnacentral:lncRNA from 1 species
GUUAAGAUUUUUUGUAAUGUUGAAUUCUCUCUUAUUAUAAGUAAUAGGAUAACUAUAUUUGGUAUGUGCGUACCUUGCAAGGUCCUCAUGUCCGUCAGACAGUUUUCACUUGACCUCGACCUCAUUUCAUGGAUCAGUGAACAAGGUUAAGUUUUGGUGGUCAAGUCCAUAUCUCAGAUACUAUAAGCAAUAGGUCUAGUAUAUUCGGUGUAUAGAAGGACUGUAAGGUGUACAUGUCCAACUGGCAGGUGUCAUCUGACCUUGACCUCAUUUUCA